AUGAACGCUAGCUACAGGCUUAACACAUGCAAGUCGAGGGGCAGCAUGAACUUAGCUUGCUAAGUUUGAUGGCGACCGGCGCACGGGUGAGUAACACGUAUCCAACCUGCCGAUGACUCGGGGAUAGCCUUUCGAAAGAAAGAUUAAUACCCGAUGGCAUAGUUCUUCCGCAUGGUAGAACUAUUAAAGAAUUUCGGUCAUCGAUGGGGAUGCGUUCCAUUAGGUUGUUGGCGGGGUAACGGCCCACCAAGCCUUCGAUGGAUAGGGGUUCUGAGAGGAAGGUCCCCCACAUUGGAACUGAGACACGGUCCAAACUCCUACGGGAGGCAGCAGUGAGGAAUAUUGGUCAAUGGACGAGAGUCUGAACCAGCCAAGUAGCGUGAAGGAUGACUGCCCUAUGGGUUGUAAACUUCUUUUAUACGGGAAUAAAGUGAGGCACGUGUGCCUUUUUGUAUGUACCGUAUGAAUAAGGAUCGGCUGACUCCGUGCCAGCAGCCGCGGUAAUACGGAGGAUCCGAGCGUUAUCCGGAUUUAUUGGGUUUAAAGGGAGCGUAGGCGGACGCUUAAGUCAGUUGUGAAAGUUUGCGGCUCAACCGUAAAAUUGCAGUUGAUACUGGGUGUCUUGAGUACAGUAGAGGCAGGCGGAAUUCGUGGUGUAGCGGUGAAAUGCUUAGAUAUCACGAAGAACUCCGAUUGCGAAGGCAGCCUGCUGGACUGUAACUGACGCUGAUGCUCGAAAGUGUGGGUAUCAAACAGGAUUAGAUACCCUGGUAGUCCACACAGUAAACGAUGAAUACUCGCUGUUUGCGAUAUACAGUAAGCGGCCAAGCGAAAGCGUUAAGUAUUCCACCUGGGGAGUACGCCGGCAACGGUGAAACUCAAAGGAAUUGACGGGGGCCCGCACAAGCAGUGGAGUAUGUGGUUUAAUUCGACGCAACGCGAAGAACCUUACCAAAUCUUGACAUCGAUCUGACCGGACUGUAAUGAGUCCUUUCCCUUCGGGGACAGAGAAGACAGGUGGUGCAUGGUUGUCGUCAGCUCGUGUCGUGAGAUGUUGGGUUAAGUCCCGCAACGAGCGCAACCCCUGUUUCUAGUUGCCAGCACGUAAAGGUGGGAACUCUAGAGAGACUGCCGGUGAUAAAUCGGAGGAAGGUGGGGACGACGUCAAAUCAUCAUGCCCUAUAUGUCCUGGGCUACACACGUACUACAAUGGCUGUAACAGAGGGAAGCAACAUAGAGAUGUGAAGCAAAUCCCAAAAAGCAGUCUCAGUUCGGAUUGAAGGCUGAAAUUCGCCUUCAUGAAGCCGGAAUUGCUAGUAAUGGCAGGUCAGCAUACUGCCGUGAAUACGUUCCCGGGCCUUGUACACACCGCCCGUCACACCAUGGGAGUCGGAAAUGCCCGAAGUCGGUGACCUAACCGAAAGGAAGGAGCCGCCGAAGGCAGGUCUGAUAACUGGGGUG
rnacentral:rRNA from 1 species